AGCAGCGUAGCGCAGUGGAAGCGGUGGUGGGCUCAUAACUCACACGUCGUAUGAUCGAAACAUACCGCUGCUA